AAGUCUCAUACUUAUUCACUACUUAAUGCAUUGAAUUUCAAACUGUGGGAUUUUUAAAAAGCCAAAUAUAUGUGUUUUGUAAAGUGAUUUAAACUUUAAGUGAAAAAAAUUAUAUCCAUGAAAGCUUGUUAAAUGUUAAGAAUGUAAGUUAUACUAUUUCUGUAAGAAUAUGUAAGUUAUACUAUUUCUACAAGAAUAAUAAUAGGAUGUAAACCCUAUUGGUUCAGCAUUUAUUCACUGACAGAUUAUAAUGUGGGACCUCUUCUGGUAUGAGAGAUUCACAGUGAACAAGACAGAGGAGCUUUCUGUACUCACAGAUCUCAUAUUCUAUGGGAUGGAUGUUGAAAACAUCAAGUCAAAAGUGUGCGGUAAUUUGUGGAAGUCAAGAGGAUCAAUAAGAGAGACAAGUAUAGGCAGGAAAUUCUAUGAAGGAAGCAAAUUUAAAAUCAGGAAGUUACUUCAAUGGCCAUGGUUCUAACAGAAAUAGAUGAACAAUCUUAAUGGUCAACAAAAACAAAAUUAUAAUUAGUAGUCUGAGAGAUCAUAACGAUAUGCAUGUGUCAAGUAGACUGACAACACUAAAGGUGAAUCAGUACAAAGGAUCCAGGCAGAAGAUCUUGUGUACAGAAGCAUCUAGGAAGGCCACCAGAAAGAGCAUGUGUUAUAGUACCCACUCUGAAUACUGCUGGGAGACACAAACGUUUUUUUUGCCAUCCAACUCCAGAUUCCAUGCUGAACCACCAUUCUUUGAACAGAGUUCUUCCUUUGCAUAAAAUAUAACAUACUCAGUUAGGAGUGGUUACCGGCCGGGUGCGGUGGCUCACGCCUGUAAUCCCAGCACUUUGGGAGGCCAAGGUGGGCGGAUCACAAGGUCAGGAGAUCGAGACCAUCCUGGCUAACACGGUGAAACCCCGUCUCUAUUAAGAAUACAAAAACAAAUUAGCCAGGUGUGGUGGCUGGUGCCUUUAGUCCCAGCUACUAGGGAGGCUGGGGCAGCAGGAUGGCAUGAACCUGGGAGGAGAAACUUGCAGCAAGCCAAGAUCAUGCCACUGCACUCCAGCCUGGGCAACAGAGUGAGACUCCAUCUCAAAAAAAAAAAAAAAAAGGUGUUUACCAUGCUAUUUUGUUUGUUGUUUUCUUCUUUACCUAUCACAGAGGCUGGCACAUAGUAUGAAAUAUUGAAUAAUCACUAAUGAAUAAAUUAAGUUGAUGAUGCCUAAAAUUUCUCAGUUGCAAUCACGGUUCAGUCUCAUAUUUCUGAGACAAUAUUCCAGUACUCUUAAUUGGAAUCUUUGUGUAUUUCCAAAACCUCUGGGGAUUCCUCCACACCCCAUUCUCUUGCAUUACUUCUGCGGCAGUGGGGGGCUGUAGUGUUUGUGUCCAUUUUACUACUUAAAACAUAUGAAAGCUUAAUGUACUUUAACAUUCCUAGAGAUCUCAUCACAGAUUAAUUUGUAUACCAAUAGGCAACAGUACUUUGUCCAAAUCAUUAUUUUACAUUUUAUCUAUAUUAGUAUUUUGUCCAAGAUUAUUAUUAACUUUUGGUAUCAAGCCUAUUUGUGGUCAUGAUGUUUUAAAAACUAGCAUGCAUAAGAAUUUGGAGGUGCUAUAUGCUAUACCACCAGUUUCUAUUAGAAAUACAGAAAACAGACAGGGUACUGAACCAUCAUUACUUUUCCAUCUAUCACAUAUUCCCAUCGAUGACUAAUUAGCAGAACAAUGUGAGAGAAGUAUUGAAUCAUGAACCUAUGGCUCUUUGCUGGCCAUCUCCCUUCUGUUAAUGUAAGUUAUUUUAGGCCUAAGUAUGUAAUAACUUAGAGUCUUGAUAGUUGCAAUGCAGGAAAAACAUAUGAGUAUUGAUUAUGAACAAAACAGAGAAAUUCAGAUUCGAUGCACUCAGCUUCCAUACUUAUUCCUCUUUUUUCAUCCCUGUGGUGCACACACAGCUUGAUCUCCCUAAACCUCUUGAAUAAUCCUUGCUGAUGUUAAUAACCAAAAUGCUUAGCUAAAAAGGGCUAAAUCAGACCCCUCUCUGCCUUCUAGACUCCAAGGAAGUAACUUAAGGAGAAUAUGGUGAAUGGGCAGCCAUCCCUUUCCUCUUUCUCCCCAAGUUGCCUUUUGGAGAGUCUAACAAAAACUAUGGCACAAGAUACUAGAAAGAGAUCGAUGAUCUGCUCCUCAGUCUUGUCUAAUAGUCAAAACUGAUAGCCUCUGUAAAUUAAAAUCCCACAGAUAACAUUAUUUUUAAGAAUUAAAAUACCUGCUGAGAAGUGAUACAGUGCUACAUACUUGGAGAGUAAGACCAUUUUGAAUGUUACAUUCACCAGUAAAUUAAGAAAAGCAAUUUCAAAGACUUAAGGGGAGUUCUCAUUAGAAAUGGUAUAUAUAAAAUUCUCCCACAGAAAUUCUUGUUAAAGGGAGUUGAGUUAUUUUAUGCUAGUUUCCGGAAAGGUUAAAGGAGUUGAAUCAAAUUUACUUCAUUGUUAAGGUAUUUUAAAUAUAAUAUAUAGGCCUUGAUUCUAACUAAAUUCACAGUGGUCUCCAGGAGUUGAAGAGGUUGUGAACUCAAGCACUACUCUCAGAGAAGCUGGCUGGCUUCUAGCACAAAAAGUCUUCUCCCACUUUGAGCCACACUACUGUGCAUUACUGACAUUUAAUCUCUUGGCUACCCUGGGACAUUGUGUAGAAACCCAAACACAACUAAUGAGGGCCCCAGCCAAUGCUGGCCACUAGACUAAAUGCAGGUGGGCUUUUUAACGGAUCUGUGAAUCAAAGCUGCCCCCUACAGAGGCUAUAGAAACUGAGACUCAAAAAACUUUUAGAGCUACCCAGGCAGAGGCAUUGGUCAUAUGUAUGCCUCGGGGCAGCCAAGAUGUAGUCAACCUUCAGGUAGGGUGUACUGACAGAGAUACACAGUGCUGAGGCCUGGGAUAUUUCUCUUUAGAAAGCACAAGAACCCUAACGGGGUGAGAGAAGGCACAUUUUGUUUUCUUAUUGCAUUGCAUCCUCACAGAUCAAUCAAAUUAAUGUCUUUUUCCCCAAGAGAAGAAUGUUUGGGCUAUUUUUCUGGCAACCAAAGACAAGUCACCUAGAGAUCCUGAAAGUCCUAAAACUCAAUAUUAGGGCUAGAACUUUUUCCUUUAGCAGCCAAACCUGAACAAGAACUUCUCUGUAUCCUGGGUUUGGUGAGCAAGGGCUAAGUAGAACCCCCACAUUUUGGAAUCUGCAUCUCAGAAGCAUGUUUCAGAAAACACAGCUACAAUUUGACCCCUAGGCAGGCAGCCCUGGGUGUAGAAAUUACUGGCAUUUGCAGGCUUCCUCUAGAAAACAAGGGUAGUGAGAGGCACUUAGUGCCCUUCCAGAAAUGCAGCUUCACACAUUGUCUCCAUUUCCACUACUAACUUGUGGACACCAAGUAACCAAAUAUUAUUUAAGACCAAGCAAGCAGAACUUAAUAGUCAUUCAUGUGGCUAGGUUAGAAUUUCAGCUGGGUGUGGUGGCAUGUUCCUGUACACCCAGCUACUUGGGAGGCUAAGGCGGGAGAAUCACUUGAGGCCAGGAGUUUGAGUCCAGCCUGAGCAACGCAGCCAAACCACAACUCUAAAAAAAUAAAUAUAUAAUAAAAAGUAAAACAGAAUUUAGCGACUAGGUUUAAAUUACAUGGACUAUAAUGCUUCAUAAUGAAAAUUAAAUCUAGAUUAUUAGUGGCUAAGGCAUUGUAGCAGAGAGCAAAAAAUGCAUUAUGAAGAAUGAAAUUAAAAGGGCCUUUACUACGUAUGUGAAAAUGCAUAAUUUUGAUGCAUUAAAAUAUAUUCAGAUAAAGACUUAAUGUUUUUAGUUAACAUUGACAUAUUUGCUUCAUCUAUCCUUUUUUCUUUCCUUUUCUCUUUAGCUCUCUAUUAUCUUAAAGCAAAUCCUUCAAAUAAUGCCAUUUUUCCUUUAAACAUUUAUAUAGUAUGACAAAAAUACAUUUUGUUACAUAAUUACAAUUAACACACCUACCAAAAUUGGUAAGAUCCCAUUAGUAUUAUUUAAUAUCAAAUGUUAUUCAAAUUUCUCCCAAUUAUCUUCAGAAAUGGCUUUUUAUGGUUGAUGUAUUAAAGUUGUGAUCAUAACAAAGUCCACACAUGUAUUUUGGUUUCUGGAAUUCUCUUUUAGUCAAGAACAACCCCCUUCCCAACCACCCAAUCACUUAUGCAAACCAUUGACUUAGAGAAAUUGGAUUGGUUGUCCUGAGAAUACCUCACAUUCUGAAUUUUUCUGAUUGCUUCUUCUUUUAUAGUUCAAUUUGUUUUAUAUAUAUAUAAAAUUUCAUAUAUAUUUUAUUAUAUUUAUACAUAUAUGUAUAUAUACAUGUAUAGAAUGAAAAUUGUAGUUAGAGCUAAGGGCUCUGUUAGGGUCAGAUUCAACUUCUUAGUAAAAAUACGUCAUUGGUGGUGCUGUGAAAUACAUAAAGCAUCAUAUCAGGAGAAAAAAUGCCUAGCUGUCUCCACGUACUGAUGUUAAGCCUAGCUGAGGAAAGCCUGGUCCUUCCAUUAUAAAGUUUCUUUCUCUUAAUGGCCUUAACAUUCAUUGAUGCUAGUGACUUAUUCAAUUGUUCAAUAGAAUUUCAAAAUGCAAUUUGCUAAUGCUGUCAUUCCUUCCAUACUUUACAGCUGAGGUUUUUCUAUAAGGAAUGUUCUCUCAUCAUCUGGGGCAUUUCUACCCUGAAACACAUAGUUCACAUAGG
rnacentral:lncRNA from 1 species